rnacentral:rRNA from 1 species
AGUGAACGCUGGCGGUAGGCCUAACACAUGCAAGUCGAACGGCAGCACAGGAGAGCUUGCUCUCUAGGUGGCGAGUGGCGGACGGGUGAGGAAUACAUCGGAAUCUGCCCAGUCGUGGGGGAUAACGUAGGGAAACUUACGCUAAUACCGCAUACGACCUUCGGGUGAAAGAGGGGGAUCGCAAGACCUCUCGCGAUUGGAUGAGCCGAUGUCGGAUUAGCUAGUUAGCGGGGUAAUGGCCCACCAAGGCGACGAUCCGUAGCUGGUCUGAGAGGAUGAUCAGCCACACUGGAACUGAGACACGGUCCAGACUCCUACGGGAGGCAGCAGUGGGGAAUAUUGGGCAAUGGGCGCAAGCCUGAUCCAGCCAUACCGCGUGGGUGAAGAAGGCCUUCGGGUUGUAAAGCCCUUUUGUUGGGAAAGAAAUCUUUCAGGCUAAUACCCUGGGAGGAUGACGGUACCCAAAGAAUAAGCACCGGCUAACUUCGUG